rnacentral:rRNA from 1 species
AGAGUUUGAUCAUGGCUCAGAAUCAACGCUGGCGGCGCGCCUAACACAUGCAAGUCGAACGAGAAAGUGGAGCAAUCCAUGAGUAAAGUGGCGUACGGGUGAGUAACACGUGGAUCAUCUACCCUCUAGUGGGGAAUACCGCUGGGAACCGGCGACAAUACCGCAUAAGCUCGAGAGAGGAAAGCAGCAAUGCGCUGGAGGAGGAGUCCGCGGUCGAUUAGUUAGUUGGCAGGGUAAAGGCCUACCAAGACUGUGAUCGAUAGCCGGCCUGAGAGGGCACACGCCACACUGGCACUGAAACACGGGCCAGACUCCUACGGGAGGCAGCAGUGGGGAAUCUUGCACAAUGGAGGAAACUCUGAUGCAGCGACGCCGCGUGAGCGAUGAAGCCCUUCGGGGUGUAAAGCUCUUUCGGCAGGGAAGAUUAUGACGGUACCUGCAGAAGCAGCUGCGGCUAACUACGUGCCAGCAGCCGCGGUAAUACGUAGGCAGCAAGCGUUGUUCGGAGUUACUGGGCGUAAAGGGUGCGUAGGCGGCUUUUUAAGUUUGGUGUGAAAUCUCCCGGCUCAACUGGGAGGGUGCGCCGAAUACUGAGAGGCUAGAGUGCGGGAGAGGAAAGUGGAAUUCCUGGUGUAGCGGUGAAAUGCGUAGAUAUCAGGAGGAACACCGGUGGUGUAAACGGCUUUCUGGACCGUAACUGACGCUGAUGCACGAAAGCGUGGGUAGCAAACAGGAUUAGAUACCCUAGUAGUCC